AGUUUGACUGAGCCUCGUUAUAUUCAUUGUGUGAAGCCCAAUAAUCUUCUUAAGCCAGCUAUUUUUGAGAAUAGCAAUGUUCUCAAAAAUAACCUUUAGAUAGUCACUAAAUAGCUAUUUUGGGGGUAAGGAAGGGUAACUUUUACAUGGUGUUGGAAACGAAGCUGGCCGCCUUCUUUUUUUCUUUCAAAUUUUAUUUGUUUUAUGUGUCUCCUUCCAGGGAGUCAAUGAGGCAAUUAGGAUUAGUUGUGCUGGAUAUCCUACAAGAAAACCUUUUUUGGAAUUUGUAGAUCGAUUUGGCAUGCUGGCACCUGAAGUUUUGGAUGGGAGAUUGGUAAGACAGGUGUUUAUAAAGGCUGGUCAAAUGGUAGAACUAAUUUUCUAGGAAUUUUGCACUAAUUUGGAACAUUUGCUCAAAAUAAAAUAAGAGUGUUCUGGGAAUUAUACUUGGAGGUGGAGCUAGGACUCGCAAUUGCUCUCUUACAAAGAAGAAAGCAAAAUCAGCUGUUCCUUUAGGAGCAAAUUAUCACCUGAUUGACAUUUUGGUCAACAAUUGCCUGAACAGCAACAUAUCAAAGAUCUAUGUUCUUACACAAUUCAAUUCUGCAUCUCUAAAUCAUCACCUUUCAUGGGCAUACGCAAGUAACAUGGGUGGCUACAAGAAUGAAGGUUUUGUUGAAGUUCUUGCUGCUUAGCAAAGCCCAGAGAACCCCUAUUGGUUCCAGCCUCUAUGUCUCUGCAUCUACUUCCUCUUUCAUUUCAGAUGAUAUAUUUGGGGGUUGAUACUGCAAAUAGGAACAUCAAUUUUGUCACUGAAAUGUUCACUUCUGGGACUCUAAAACAUUUCUAAGCCUCAGAAAUGACUGAUUUAUUUAAAUGUUCUUCUAGGCAUCCAGACUAGUGAAGAUUACAUAUUCUAUGCUAUAUCAGCUGACUUUAAUGAAUUUAGUAACAAGGACAAGACAUUAAAUUAAAUAAAAACUCAUGGGGUUUGUCUUGAUGUUUUUCCUAUUAUUUUUUGGGGAAUGUUAAAACAUGAUUUGUGGAUAUGUUAUUUUGUAGUUAAUAGUGAUUGUAUAUUAAAUUGAAUGGGAAAGUGAAUUAAUGUUGUAUUUGCUACUUGACAGUUUUUCAUAUAAUCAGCUUAUCUUUUGACAAAUGUUCAUUUGAAUGGGAAUGGGAGUU